ACUCUGCGUCAGGGGAGGAUGAGGGACGAAGUGACCGUUCCACCCGAACGACCCAGCAUUGCUGCCAGCCAAGCCCCUCCCCCACUGCACCCUAUCACCAUGGCGAUCCCCUCCGAGCCCUGAGCUCUGGUCAGCUGACCAACCGCAAUGAGGCCAUCCAGUCCCUGCAGGAGGAGGUGGGCAGACUAAAGGAGCGACUCGAGGGCAGUCUGAGACAGACCAACCCUCCCAGUCCUGUUAGAGCGCCCCCCUCAGCCCAGGAUGGCCACACACACUCUCUCAGCUCAACACCUCGUACCAGGUCUGCUCAGCGAAGGAGGGAUGGUGGUAGAGAGGAGAGCAGGGAGGAGAGGAGGUGGGGUGAGGAGCAACAGGUGGAGGAGAGGU